AGUGAACGCUGGCGGUAGGCCUAACACAUACAAGUCGAACGGCAGCACAGUAAGAGCUUGCUCUUACGGGUGGCGAGUGGCGGACGGGUGAGGAAUACAUCGGAAUCUACUUUUUCGUGGGGGAUAACGUAGGGAAACUUACGCUAAUACCGCAUACGACCUACGGGUGAAAGCAGGGGAUCUUCGGACCUUGCGCGAUUGAAUGAGCCGAUGUCGGAUUAGCUAGUUGGCGGGGUAAAGGCCCACCAAGGCGACGAUCCGUAGCUGGUCUGAGAGGAUGAUCAGCCACACUGGAAUCGAGACACGGUCCAGACUCCUACGGGAGGCAGCAGUGGGGAAUAUUGGACAAUGGGCGCAAGCCUGAUCCAGCCAUACCGCGUGGGUGAAGAAGGCCUUCGGGUGGUAAAGCCCUUUUGUUGGGAAAGAAAAGCAGCAGGUUAAGACCCCGCUGUUCUGACGGUACCCAAAGAAUAAACACCGGCUAACUUCGU
rnacentral:rRNA from 1 species